rnacentral:rRNA from 1 species
UACAGAGGUCUCAAGCGUUGUUCGGAUUCAUUGGGCGUAAAGGGUGUGUAGGUGGCGCCGUAAGUCGGGUGUGGAAUUUCGGAGCUUAACUCCGAAACUGCAUUCGAUACUGCGGUGCUUGAGGACUGGAGAGGAGACUGGAAUUCAUGGUGUAGCAGUGAAAUGCGUAGAGAUCAUGAGGAAGACCAGUGGCGAAGGCGGGUCUCUGGACAGUUCCUGACACUGAGACACGAAGGCCAGGGGAGCAAACGGG